rnacentral:rRNA from 1 species
GACGAACGCUGGCGGCGUGCCUAACACAUGCAAGUCGAACGAGAAUCGAUGGAUUGAGACUUCGGUUGAUUGAAAUUGAGGAAAGUGGCGAACGGGUGAGUAACGCGUGAGGAACCUGCCUUUCAGUGGGGGACAACAGUUGGAAACGACUGCUAAUACCGCAUAACACAACGAGACCGCAUGAUCUUGUUGUCAAAGCUUUAUGUGCUGGAAGAUGGCCUCGCGUCUGAUUAGCUAGUUGGUGAGGUAACGGCCCACCAAGGCGACGAUCAGUAGCCGGACUGAGAGGUUGAACGGCCACAUUGGAACUGAGAUACGGUCCAGACUCCUACGGGAGGCAGCAGUGGGGAAUAUUGGGCAAUGGGCGCAAGCCUGACCCAGCAACGCCCGUGUGAAGGAAGAAGGUCUUCGGAUUGUAAACUUUGUUGUCAGUGAAGAAAAAGGACUGUAACUGACGAGAAAGCCCGGCUAACACGUGCCAGCAG